rnacentral:lncRNA from 1 species
CUUAUUUUGAAAAUUCACUGCCGGUAACCUCUUUACUCCUUUCCAUGAAGAUUUCCAUGCCUCAGAACAAAGUUGACCUCAUCUUGAAGACAGGAUAGAGGGGAGAUAAUGCCUGUCAACAUCUAUCACAAAAUGUUGCUCAACUUACUGAUGAAUUAAUAAAAAGUCAUCUGUACUCUCUUCUGAAGCCCAUCAUCUGCUCCUUGGUUGGACUGAGUCCCAUGAAGCCAGAUCACUUCUGACUGCAAGGAGCUUGGAAAAGCAAGUAUCUGGAUCUUUUACCAGCUAAAUUUGGAGCGAUGAGGCUUCCUCUUUGAAGAUCACAGGUGAGAAGAUUAGGUGCUUUCUCAGAAGCCCAGCAACCUGAUGGGAGUGUGGAGUGAGCAAGACCCAAAUCGGAGCUUCAUCCCUGCAUGGUUCAUUUUGCUUAUUUGGCAAACUUGCCCUGCAGAAUCUACUCAAGCUUCCUCAGUUUCUCAAAUCAUUCUUGGGCAACAAAUGAACAAGAAAGAGGACGUCUUAUUAUCUGGUGUCUGGCUUGCUGAUUUAAUAACCUAGGAGACAGUGUUUGAAGAACACAAACUCUAAAGUCCUUCACUUAAAAAAAAAAAAAAACUUUCCCAAAUUGCUUACCAUUUGGAAAAAUUGCCUUACCUUCUUCAGUCAUCUCUGAUGUUGUCAUCCUCAGAGUAAGAAGUACGCAUUCAUAAGGAACCAUAACGUCCUUCAGGAAAUCCAGUACACCCUACAAUUUUACCUAAAACUUUGAUGUUGUUUUUUCUGAGCAUUUUACCUUCUAGGGAAAUGGAUCUCAUGCUGUUUAUCAGUUUCUGAAAGUUGUUAUUAAUCUCCCCUCAUCCCAAAAUUGAAGAACUUUGCUUAAAUCUUAGAAUCAGAACUUUGGCUCCAGUAAUAAAGACUUUUCAAUAUCUUUAUCUGCCAUUGAGUC